UAGGGAAUCUUGCGCAAUGAGCGAAAGCUUGACGCAGCGACGCCGCGUGCGGGAUGAAGGCCCUCGGGUCGUAAACCGCUUUCAGCAGGGACGAUAUUGACGGUACCUGCAGAAGAAGCCCCGGCCAACUACGUGCCAGCAGCCGCGGUAAUACGUAGGGGGCGAGCGUUGUCCGGAUUUAUUGGGCGUAAAGAGCUCGUAGGCGGUUCGGCAAGUCGACGGUGAAAUCUCCACGCUCAACGUGGAGGGGUCCGUCGGUACUGCCGUGACUCGAGUCCGGUAGGGGAGAAUGGAAUUCCCGGUGUAGCGGUGAAAUGCGCAGAGAUCGGGAGGAACACCCGUAGCGAAGGCGGUUCUCUGGGCCGGUACUGACGCUGAGGAGCGAAAGCGUGGGGAGCAAACAGG
rnacentral:rRNA from 1 species